CCUGCCACGCCUCUCGAAGAAGCGCAACUUGGCAGGU
rnacentral:sRNA from 1 species